CCCUUAGAUGUUCUGGGCCGCACGCGUGCUACACUGAGUCAUUCAAUGGGUAAGGGAACGCUAGAGCAUUACCUAAUCUUGAAAUUUGCUCGUGAUGGGGAUCGACGGUUGCAAUUUUCCGUCGUGAACGAGGAAUACCUUGUAGGCGCAUGUCAUCAUCAUGCGCCGAAUACGUCCCUGCCCUUUGUACACACCGCCCGUCGCUCCUACCGAUUGAGUGAUCCGGUGAGGCUCUGGGACCUGGACGGAAAGAGCGUUUCGCUUGUUCUGUUUGGGAAACUUGGUCGAACCUUAUCAUUUAGAGGAAGGAGAAGGCGUAACA
rnacentral:rRNA from 1 species